rnacentral:lncRNA from 1 species
GGCCAGGAAGUCCCGGGAAGUCCCGGGUGCUCACGGGGUAUGCACACACAGGAAGUGACGCAGAGCACACAAAGUUCGGACCAUGAGUGCCCAGCAGGGUUCAGUUCGCUAGGGAGGUGGGGGCAGGCUGCUCAGAGGAGGCGGCUUUGGAUUGGCUACUGAUAGGAGUGAGCGUUUAUGGGAAGUUUGAGCCAUAGUAGUAUAUUGUGCUUAUUAUUUGCACAUUUGCUUAUUAUUAAUGUUUUAUGUACAUCUGGUGCAUUCUCAGAGAGACUGCGAUUGUCUGUUGUAGAGCCCCACCCCCAGCUCGAGCCUGACCCAGGGGUGGCGAGGACGAAGAGACCCAGAAUCGGGUUAAAAUCUAGGGUCCAGGGCGGCCCUUGUCUCCGUUCGACACAGACUGGAGACCUCGGCUUUGUCACUCGGACAAGUUCCUUACGCGGGACUCACCUGUCUCCCUCCCUCCGCUGCACUCCGCCCGGAAACCACGGGAUCUCAACUGUUCUCACUUCUCCUGCGUGUCAGCCGCCCGCCCUCUUUGCUCUCGGCGCUUACGGGGGGCGGGGGCGGCUGGGCCUCAUUCUUCCAUCUGCUCUCCGCCUGUGGGCCACAUCUCCUCCGCUUAGGAAGAAAAUUCUCGCCGUGCUCCACUCGUGUUACCUGUGCUACAGGGCAGGAGGACUCUCUCUGGCUUUGCCCGCAGCCUCAGAUCAACAGUCUUCAGCGCCAUGGCUGCCUGGUCCUCCUGGCCCCAGGCUCUGCUGCUGUGCUCCACGUUAGGGGAUCCCAGGCCCCUCGCUGCUUCCAAGAGGGCAGACCUUUGAAGGCCAGGUGCACCUGCCAUUGUGUGUGGCACUGGGCACGAGUCGACGCUGUUGUGGUCCUGAUGCUCUGGGAGGCUGAGGCAGAAGGAUAGACAGUUUGAGCUCAGCCUGGUCAAAUUAGCAAUCUAGUAAGCUCUGUUUUAUAAAAAGGCUGGGGAGGGAGCUCCACGUAAAGAUCCAGAGCUACCAUCCCAGUAAUGGAAACACCAGUUCUCCAGUCUGGAGAGCUGCUACCAGAUGCUGCUGGUGGAGAGCGCCUUGCUUCCUUUCCUCUCCCCGCAGCAGGCCUCCUUACUCUGAGCCCAGCCCGCCCCAAGUUUCAGACUGUGACACUGGCUUACUCCAGUUAUGCUUUCUCGGUCUCCUGCCAUCCAGCCCUUCCACUCUAGUCCCAGCCUUUAAGAGGUGCCUGUCCUUUUCUACAAGGUCGUGUAGGAAAACUGGUUGCCCAUGUACCAGUGAAGCCAGACUUUUACCUUAGGCCCCAUGAAAUCGUUGCCUCGAAGCGGACCAAAUAUCUAACCAUAAGAGCUGCGUCCACAAAACUUUCAGAAGGAAGACAUAUAGGGAAAGCUUCAUGAAAUUUGGUUUAGGAUUUGGCAGUGAUUUUUUUUAGAUACGACUUCAAAAGCAACAGCGAUAAAGGAAAAAUAAAUUGGAAUCUGCCAGAAUUAAAGCGCAUGUGCCUCAGAGGGUACAAUCAACAGAGAAAGAGGGUAUCCUUGGAAAGAAAGGAAAUAUUUGCAAGUCCAGGGCUUAAUGUCCAAAAGGUCCAAAGAGUCCUAGCACUGAACAGAAACACCAACAACACAGGAUAAAAGUGGGCAAAGGGCUUGACCGGAUAAUUCUCCAGAGAAGGUGAAUGACCGACACGGUGCCUGACAAGACGGUGACGGCACGGAUCCUUGGGGUACAGUAGAAACUACGCCGCCCCACACCCAAACCAACUAACCGGAAACUGUUAACAUCAGCGAGGCUGUGGAAGAAUCAUGACCCUCACACGCUGCGGGUGCAGCGCAAAGUGUUGGAGCCUCGAAGGCAGCUCAUCAGCAGACUUCAAGCAGAAACUUCACAUCCAGCAGCUCCACUUCUGGGAGUCACCGAGUCAGGGGCGGCAGCUCUCUCAGAGAUGCUUGGUGUGCACCUGUUACAGCAUCGUUAUGCACGGUGGCUUGUCCAAGAGUCCAUCCGUGGAGGAACAGAUACAAAUGGGAUACAUACAUGCAACAUCAUCCGCCUGAACAGAGGAAGAGCAUCCUGAUACACGAGUGAGUAUUAAGGGCAUUUUGCUGAGUGAAACUAGUCAGGCUCCGCAUGAUUCCCCUUUUCGCGUGGCACCCAGAGUGACCCAAGUCAGGGGCUGGACGGAAAAGAGGGAAAACGACUCAUUGCUUCCUGGGUGUAGUUUCAGUUCUGCAAGAUGAGGCUGGAGCUACACAACUAUGUGAAUAUACUUAAUACUAAAAAACUGCACAGCAAAAAAUGUUUAAGGUGGUGAAUUCUGUUACAUGUGUUUUGGUACAAAUUACAAAAACAAGAUGUCUAUGCUAUUCAGCUUAUGCCUUUUAGAAUUUAAUCCAAAAGAAGAAAAAUGCAAGGCUUUAUGUGAUUUGUUGGAUUAAUAAAUUACUUCAGUCAUUUUAAUAUAGUUAAUUAAUGACUAGUCUGAUAGAUUCAACGCAGAGCUAAGAAUCUGCUCAGGACAGCCCCUAAGUUAACAGAGUUUUGCAAAGGUGUCUAGGAAAAAUGUAAGGAGCUUCUAAGUCUUAGACUCAGUGUAGUAAGUGCUCAACUUAGGAACCACUUCGGUUCCAGGAAAUUGUUAGUCAGAUUCUUUGGAAAGCUGACAAAGUCCUACGGAGUCCAUCUGUGAAAACUCACAACUCGAAUGUUCGUAAGUCAGAGACUUACUGUACAUGUAUGGUUGUGUAAGAGUGAGACCUAGAGUUUGUGGACGCUAUGGUAUGGCUCUUCAAUGGGUCCGCAAAGGCCCAUAUUUUGGAGGCAGUAGAACCUUCAGGGGGCGGAGCCUAGUACAAGGAGGAGCGCUCCCUGGGGGCGUGGCCCUAAGGGGAUAUUGGGCCCCUGCCUUUUCUGUUUCCUGGCCAGCUUUAUUCUAACACAUUGUCUAACAGAAAGUGCUGCUACCCAGCACAAGGGGGCCAGCCCUCCAUAGACUGAAUCCUCCCAAACCGUGAUCCAAAUCAGUCUUUUUUGUUUGUUUGUUUGGUUGGUUUUUAGUAUGGGGGAUUGAAUUCAGGACCUUGAGCUUGCGAGGCAGGUGGCAGAACCACUGAGCUAAAUCCCCAGUCCGAAAUCGGUCUUUCUCCAUAGAAGUUGAUUAUUGCAGGUUAUUUUUUCACAGCAGUAGAAAGCAUUCUAAAACAAUGGUAAUAGAAUUCUUUUGUGUUUUACGGGUUAAAACAAUUUUUUCUGUUAUAAAAUUAAUGCUAAAAAAGUGGGAAAAUGAAAAACAGUGUAAACCCUGCCAUUCAAAUUCAACCUUAUUUCUUUUCUAGUCAUACAUAUUUUUCCAUGCACAAGUUCAAAAGAUUUAUAGUUCUAACACAUAUGAAUAGUAACCAUUAUUUCAAAAGGUUGCAUAUAUAAAAUAUCACAAGGAAGAGUGUGUAAGAUUUUACUAAAUUGCCACUUAUCUGCUUUUGGAAAAUUAUAGGUUUCCAAAAUGCUUUUCCCCAUUAUGGUAAAUUUUUUUAACAUUAUGGUGUAUUUUCCCUAUUAUGGUAUAAAUUAUUUUUCUCAUAAAGUUUUUAUUUUUGGCUAAUAACAAAAUUUGUCUUGCUCAUACAAGAUACUUAUAGGGUUAUUCACAAUAGCCCAUACAGAAACAAUGCAAGUGUCAAACAACUGAUGAAUGGGGCCUGUGGUAUAUAAACACAGUGGAAUAUUACUCAGUCUUAACAAGGUCAUCCUGCCAUCCUAGGAGGGCAUGGGUAAGUCUGGAGGACGGGUUAGGGUAGGCCCAACAACCCUGGCAUGGACAAGCGCCACUUAUAUGUUGGAUCUGAAAAAGUUCAUUUCAUAGACGCAGAACAAAACACUCCUUGAACUAAAUUUUUAGUCUACCACUCACUGCCAAACCUUGUGAUCUGGAGUUGCCAGAUUUUUAAAAAUCCAGUUAAAGCUGAUUUGCAGUUAGCAGAUUGCCCAGAGGAAUUUGAAUUUCAGAUAAACGAUGGGAACUUUCUUUUUCAGCUUCGGUCCUAGAUACUGCAUGGCCACGGCGGAUGCUGAAGAAACUGUUGGCUGCUCGUCCGCAAUCCAGUUGUAACCGGGAUCUUUUCUGUUUGCUGGGCCGGCGCUCCCGCAGGCCUGUCAGCGGGCGGAACAGGCCCGGGCUGGGCGGGCGGUGGAGGAGGAGAGCGGG